ensembl:lncRNA LINC02073 long intergenic non-protein coding RNA 2073
GAGGGGCACGAGGCACUCUCUGCCCUUGCAGAGCUCACUGGAGGAAUAAACCUUUGUAGAGGAAGGUUUGAUGGGCUUUCCUGGAAGAAGUACUCAUAGGAAAACCCAAAAGCUCAACAGAUGCUGUCUCCUUGGUUAACAUUAGGAGCUAUGAUCUCCAUCUUCCCAUGGCAUUAGAGGUUUAGAUACUGAGGAUCAGAGAGGCAAGUUCAGCAUCAGAAGGCAGGAAGAGGCAGAAAUCUGGACACCGAUUCCUAACUCUAAAGCUGCGUCAUCUCUAGUGCAUCUCAUCAGCUCUUCCCAAUGGCACCAAUCAACUUUAGCAUACUGGCCAGCCGGAAUAGAUGUCCUUGGGCAUUCUUAAGAUCUGAGACUGUGAUGGUUAAUUUUAGGGUAUCAGCUUGACUGGGUUGAGGAAUGCCUCAGUGGCUGGUGGCGUCCAUCAUUCCUGGGUGUGUCUGUGAGAGUGUUUCCAGAGGAGACUCACAUGUGAGCCAGCGGGCUGAGAAGGAGACCCGUUCUCAGUGUGAGUGUGCACUGUCCAAUCAGCUCAAGGCCAGGCUGGGGACAAACAGGCAGAAGAAGGAGGAUUCUCUCUCCCACCUUUCUGGAGCAGGAUGCCUUUUCUCCUUGGACAUCAGACUACAGGGUCUUUGGCUUUUGGAUUCUAGGACUUGUACCAAUGGCCUCCCGGGGCCCUCAGGCCUUCAGCCUCCAACGAAGGUCUGUGCUGUUGGCCUCCCUGAUUCUGAGGCUUCUGGACUUGGACUGAGGCAUGCUACGGGCUUCUCUGAUUCUCCAGCUUGUGGAUGGCCUAUCAUGGGACUUCUCCACCUCUGUAAUCACAAGGGCCAAUGCCCCCUAAUACCUUUCUUUUCAUAUAUCCUACUGGUUCUGUCUGCCUGGGGAACCUUGACUAAUACAGAUAUGGAGCAUUUGAAAUGAGAGGAUUUCUGAUCCUGUUCUUCAAGAAGCAGUAGGUCAGAGCAUACCUCUUUAAAAUAACUUCUGGAUAGUUUCACAGUUAGAAAGAAUCAGCUUCAGGUGAUCUUGAAGAUCCCACUUGGAUUCCACUCUCCAGCUCUCAGGAAGCUCUGGCUUCCUUACUUCUUCUGGGAUUUUCCUUUCAUGCUGGGGAGAGAUGCUCCCUCACCACUACCCAGCCCAUGGGACACACCGAGUCUGGUGGAGGAUGCUGUGACCUGUGGUGCUUGUGAUUGCGUCUUACUGUGUCGCCCAGACUGAAGUGCAGUGGUACAGUCUCAGCUCACUGCAACCUCGGCUUCCCAGGCUCAAGCAAUCCUCCUGCCUCAGUAUCCCAAGUAGCUGGGAAAACAGGUAAAAGGGAAGCAAAGGAAGAAAGAAGAAAAGAAGACAACCCAUGUAGGAUGUUAACCAGGUCACUGGUUUUAUUGUCACAUGCUUUUAAAAGAACAUGCAUGAGUGAGCUGUCUCACUUUCCAAUCCAAGAAUGUUUGAUUCCACUGUGAUGAAAAAUUCUGUGACCUGGCAGGAAAACACUACAAGAAGGGCAGAAGCGGAAAAUUCUUUCUAUUUUCCAAUAUGGCUUUCUUUGAUUCAAGAAAGGCCUCCUCUCCUCCACAUCUCUGUCCUGCUCAUGACCCCAGAAGAUCUCAGGUUGACUGCAUUUGUUCUAUGCCUUCCUCAAGCUUCACCUCUUCUGUGAGCCUCCUGGGUGGGCUCCUUCUGGCUAAAUCUUCCUCCUCACUGUUGCCUUUUUAUCUUAUGCAAGCACCUGCCUUAUCUAAAGGAAGUCGAAGCUUGGAGAGAUUCUGUGAAUUGGUGAAGGACACAGAGCAAAGCCAGGAUUCAGAUUCAGACCUGCUUGACUCCAAGAUCAUUCCAGAAAUCUCCCUUUUCCUUUGGACCCUGUGACGUGACAGCUGGGUUCUUUCUGCUCUGAUUUCCAUGCCUGACAACCAUUUAAAUGGAAUACAAGAAUGCAGCAAUUUGAGAAGUAAAUGAGCCAUCACAAGCAGAGUUUCUUGCAAGGCUGGCUCCAGGCAAACCUGUUAAGUGGACGUUUCUGGUGGCACCUUCAGUUUUCUCCAGCCUCGUCACACCUGGUGGGCUCCUUCCACUCCUUCAUGCAGACACUGCUGUCCCCCUCCAUCAACACCUUCCUUCAGGGAAGGAGCUGGAUCUCAUCUUCACUGGGACAAUGGCUGGGUAACAGCUGAUAGCCUUGCUGCUUUCUGCUGAAUAUGUUUUUUUUUUCAAAAGACCAAAAAGAAAAAAAAAAAA